CUUGAGCGAGCCCAGCCACAGCGGCUGGUCCUCGGGGCGCUCGCGCCCGUAGGUGGCGAGCAGCGCCCCCGCCUC
rnacentral:antisense_RNA from 1 species